UGGGGGCCAGAGGCCUCGGAGCUCUCAGGAUUAUUCUACACGAGCUCAACAAUGGCGUCGCCUCCCCCGCUCUAGAUCCGUUUUUUCCGGAAGAUGGUCAAGAAUAACAAUGUCGUCUCCAAGCACGGAGCACCUGAACCGGGGAGCGUCCGAGCAGCAAAUGGCAACCAAGCAACCAGAACAAGCUAUGGGAUUUCUUUCCGUAGAAGAUUCAGCUAUUCUAAACUGCUACCCAUUCGUCUUGCAUUCAGCAUCGCAGAACCAGUCUGGUAGUUGAAGUGGUGCGGGGAUGACAUUCCAGGAUAUGGUAAUCAGAGCUAGUAAAGCUGUGCUCACCUAUGCAGCUGCUCAGCAAACUGAUGACUCGAUGCCUGAAGAACAAGGGCUGACUUCAAUUCAUUCAGAAGUUCCUCUGAAUGUAACAAUCUCCCCUGCUGAGCUUGAGUCACCUAUGGAAGGUGCUGCCAACUCAAAUUGCGAGGAAGGCAAUUGCAGAAACUCGACAACAAUUACAGCCGCAGAGCUAGAUAUACACCAAGAUGGUUCAGUGCCAUAUGCACUACAAAAUGAAGAGCAAACUAAUGUUUCAAACAACCCUACAAGCUUAAGUUCAGAUCUUGGAGCGCAGCCAUGGCCUAAGGGGUAUGCAUGUGUUGGAGCUCAACAACAUUGACAAUAAAGAAUUACCGUAAUGGUAUAACAAAGAUUUUGCGAUAUAGUUGCUGAGGUUUUGACAUAGUAGUACUAUUAGCAGUACAAUGAUCAAAGCAUAGUUGAUGAAAUGAAUACAUAGUCUGAUCGAAAAGACGAAAGGACACAAUGGUUCAAAAGCCAUGUAAACAACUGGCAUAUAACAUGCCACUGGUUUCACACAAAAUCAAAAGAACCAAGCAGCAUUGACUA